rnacentral:lncRNA from 1 species
UUGUAGUCGAGUCGACAUAUUGUUUCAUCCGAUCAUAGUCGAGCCGAUAUAUUAUUCUGUCCGAUCGUACUUAAGUUGGCAUGUUGUUCCGUCCGACCACAGCUGAAUCAACAUAUUGUUCCGUCCAACUGCAGUCGAGUCGGCAUGUUGUUCCAUCCGAUCGAAAUCGAGUCAGCAUGUUGUUCUGUCUGAUCGUAGUUGAGUCGGUAUAUUAUUCCAUCCAACUAAAGUCGAGUCGGUAUAUUGUUUCGUCCAA